CACGUAGGGGGCGAGCGUUGUCCGGAUUUAUUGGGCGUAAAGAGCUCGUAGGCGGCUCGGUAAGUCAGGUGUGAAAACUCUAGGCUCAACCUAGAGACGCCACCUGAUACUGCUGUGGCUAGAGUCCGGUAGGGGAGCAUGGAAUUCCUGGUGUAGCGGUGAAAUGCGCAGAUAUCAGGAGGAACACCAGUGGCGGAAAGGCGGGUGCCUCUGGGCCGG
rnacentral:rRNA from 1 species